rnacentral:hammerhead_ribozyme from 1 species
AUCCAGCUGACGAGUUACAAAUAGGACGAAACGCGCGUCCUGGAU